GCUACUUAGUGCGCGUAAACGAGAUAUAUUUUACUCUUAGAUUAUAUAGAUAGUCUCCAUAGAAAUGUUUCGAGAAAAACUAAUCAACUUUUUCAUAAGUAGGUUUCGAAAAGUUGUUAUCUGUUGAGAAAAGUCCACAAGAAACUCAAGAGUUACUUUUUUAAAUCUCUGUUAACGCAUAUAUGUUCAAAUAUAUUUAUUUAAAUGUAUGACUAUGUCUAAGUCUAUGACUAUGACUAUGUCUAAAAUUACAUGGUCAUUAAACAGUCUGUACAUGAUCGACUAACACCAUGCACGUUUGUCAUUCAAGUAAUCGUUUAAUGUGUAAUAAAUAGCCUUUGUUCAAUAAGUGUUUUUUAAUAACAGUUUUAAAUUUAUUAAAAGCUAGAUCCAAAAUAUC